UAGUGAUAUGCUUGUCUCAAAGGCUAAGCCAUGCAAGUGUUAGUAUAAACUGACUUAUAUAGUGAAACUGCGAAUGGCUCAUUAAAUCAGUUAUAGUUUAUUUGAUGGAUACGUGCUUCGGUACACUACAUGGAUAACUGUAGUAACAUAGAGCUAAUACAUGCUAAAAGGCCUGACUUUCGGGAAGGGCCCGCACUUAUUAGAUUCCAAACCAAUACCGUUUCGGCGGUUCACUUGGUGAUUCAUAAUAACUGAACAAAUCGCAUGGCUUCACG
rnacentral:rRNA from 1 species